rnacentral:rRNA from 1 species
AUGCAAGUCGAACGAAGUCUUCGGACUUAGUGGCGCACGGGUGAGUAACAUGUGGGAAUCUACCUAAAGGUUCGGAAUAACUGCGGGAAACUGUAGCUAAUACCGGAUGUGUCUGCAAAGAGAAAGAUUUAUCGCCUUUAGAUGAGCCCGCACUAGAUUAGCUAGUUGGUGAGGUAACUGCUCCACCAAGGCUACGAUCUAUAGCUGAUUUGAGAGGAUGAUCAGCCACACUGGGACUGAGACACGGCCCAGACUCCUACGGGAGGCAGCAGUAGGGAAUAUUGGACAAUGGGGGAAACCCUGAUCCAGCAAUGCCGCGUGAGUGAAGAAGGCCCUCGGGUUGUAAAACUCUUUCAUCAAUGAUGAUAAUGACAUUAAUUGAAGAAGAAGCUCCGGCUAACUUCGUGCCAGCAGCCGCGGUAAUACGAAGGGGGCUAGCGUUGUUCGGAAUCACUGGGCGUAAAGCGUAUGUAGGCGGAUCAAAAAGUUAGAUGUGAAAUCCCUGGGCUCAACCCAGGAACUGCAUUUAAAACUAGUGAUCUAGAAUUUGGUAAGGGUUAGUAGAAUUUCCAGUGUAGAGGUGAAAUUCGUAGAUAUUGGAAAGAAUACCAGAAGCGAAGGCGACUAACUAGGCCAUUUUUGACGCUGAGAUACGAAAGCGUGGGUAGCAAACAGGAUUAGAUACCCUGGUAGUCCACGCAGUAAACGAUGAGUGCUAGUCGCUGGUACAAUAGUAUCAGUGUCGUAGCUAACGCAUUAAGCACUCCGCCUGGGAAGUACG